AGGGCAGGCCGCCUUAUCGCUGCAUGCUCAGCUUGACUGGGCAUCUCAUUUAUUGGUAUUCUUAUCAAUAAUGAGAUUCCCGCCUUUGCGGGAAUGUUGAGGAAAGUCCGGACACCACAGGGAAGCAUAGCGGCUAACAGCCGUCAUCCCGUUUUAACACGGGAGCGGACCAGUGCAACAGAAAGGAUGUACAGGUAAUGCUGUAGUGAAAUCAGGUAAACUCUAUGCGGUGAAAUGCCACGUAAACCUGCGCUUGAGGGUUCCCGCCCAAUGCAGGAGGGUAGGCAGAUUGAGCAUAUUGGCAACAAUAUGCCUAGAUAAAUGAUAAGGGUCUCGAAUAUCGGGAUACAGAAUCCGGCUUAUAGGCCUGCUUUUUUA
rnacentral:RNase_P_RNA from 1 species